rnacentral:rRNA from 1 species
AUGAACGCUGGCGGCGUGCCUAAUACAUGCAAGUCGAGCGAACGGACGAGAAGCUUGCUUCUCUGAUGUUAGCGGCGGACGGGUGAGUAACACGUGGAUAACCUACCUAUAAGACUGGGAUAACUUCGGGAAACCGGCGCUAAUACCUGAUAAUAUUUUGAACCGCAUGGUUCAAAAGUGAAAGACGGUCUUGCUGUCACUUAUAGAUGGAUCCGCGCUGCAUUAGCUAGUUGGUAAGGUAACGGCUUACCAAGGCAACGAUGCAUAGCCGACCUGAGAGGGUGAUCGGCCACACUGGAACUGAGACACGGUCCAGACUCCUACGGGAGGCAGCAGUAGGGAAUCUUCCGCAAUGGGCGAAAGCCUGACGGAGCAACGCCGCGUGAGUGAUGAAGGUCUUCGGAUCGUAAAACUCUGUUAUUAGGGAAGAACAUAUGUGUAAGUAACUGUGCACAUCUUGACGGUACCUAAUCAGAAAGCCACGGCUAACUACGUG